AACGGCCAUACCAUGCUGAAUAUACCGGUUCUCGUUAGAUCACCGAAGUCGGGCGCGGUCAGUACUUGGGUGGGUGACCACCUGGGAACACCGCGUGCCGUU